AAAGAUUUUGCUUGGAGUCUAGAUUUUGGGCAUUAUUACUAUGUUUGAAUUUGGCCAGGUGUGAAUACAGCCCAUGCAGUGUUGAAAAAUGAAAAUCAUGCAACCUAGACUAGAACCAGCUUUUGCUUCCUAAACAAAUCUUGAAUCACAAAUUCUAACUUUAUAGCUAGAAAGCACUCCAGUUGCAAGUGUGUUCCGCUUUUGGCAGUUCUACCCAC
rnacentral:lncRNA from 1 species